rnacentral:snRNA from 1 species
UCAGGGCCGCGCGUACGCAGCCCCACACACACAAAUUUAGCUGUUGGCGAAUCUCAGUUCGAGACUGCCACACGGGUCAGCCCGGGCGAAAGUGCAAUGCGCGGGCCUCACCAUGGGGGUCCCGCCUUAAUGAUCGCGAGACGCCCCCAGCCAGGUAAGUUU